UGACAAUAUUUACAUAAUUAUUCCAACAGCCCGCCACCCGGAUAUGUGCACGCCAAUUAAGAUUGCUCGCCAAUAUGUGCUUGCACUGCACACCGGAUAAGAUUGCCCGCCACUACAGUAUGAAGCAUAACUGAUAAAACAUUGAAUAUCAAGCGUAAGUUGUGGGACAUUAGCCGUUAUUAUUCUGAAUUAAAGGUCCAACGAGACGACUUACUCCUCUUCUUUCUUUUAUUUUGUGCUUACACAACAUACACACUCAUCCAAUGUGUUUAUCUACGAGCAAUGCAAGUAGUUGCUCUAGAAGCUUCUUAUUUGCUCUGUGACGUCCUGGUGGCGUUGUGGUGACGAGUUGUUCUCUCGUGGGUGCAGCGAAGAUGGACACAGCGUGAGGUAGGAACAAUAAUUUAUUUAUACUAACUAAAACAGACUAAGAACCAAAAACACUUGCUCGAAGGCACUAACAAACAAAACAGAAAGCGCUAGCAUGAGUUAGGGACAAACAACUGAAAUAGCAUGGAAGCUAAUGUACAUGGAGGUAGUUACCACAAUGCUGGAAAGAGCGACGUCAACUGUAGCGUGAAGCAAACAAAAGUCCAAGAAAGAAUGUCAAACAAACGCGUUCUUAAAUAGGGAGAUAACUAAUCAAGGGUAGGUGCGCGUGAUCAAAGGAGAGACAGGUGACAUUAAAUGAGUAACUAUGACAACGGAACAAAACCAGGAAGUGCCACAAAGAACUGAGGAAGACAGAUAAUAGACAGACUGUGAUAACGAACAGAACCAAAACCAGAAUAUGCCAUGAUCCAAGAUGUGGAUCAUGACAUGCUCACCUCAAUAUAAUUUCUUGCAUUACAGACACCUGUGGCCAACUAUGUUACUACACUCAAUAAUGCAAUCAAGCCAAUGAAUGAAUCAACACGGAAAGUACUCUAUUAGCCACAUAUUUUAAUUGCAAUGUCUAAUUUUUGUAUAAACUCUAUAUGCACAAGAUAUAACGUCCUCUCCUCCAUGAAGACAUUUCACAUAAUCAAGAUUCCAAAGGAUGCAGCAGUUGAACUGAUCUUCUUAAUAUUGUCUUUUCAGAAGGGUCAUGACCACUCCAAUCUUCCAAAUCUGGUGUAGUGUCUUGUCAUCUCCAAUGAGUAAUAGACCGCCCUCCUUAAGAGGGGCAGCACACGCUGUCUUGAUGGUAUAAGCAGAUCUCUGAUGCAUGAAGUAUUCCUUUUUCCAGCAAGUCCAGAAGUUGUUGAGAAGUCGCAGGCGACAUUUUCAUCUUCAUGUAAGUUAUUCUCUCUUGGAAUUGCAGGUUUGUCCAGUGGCAUGUAGAUGCCCCGUUGGAAAGGCGGAUAUAAGCCUUCCAAUCAGAAAAUGAGCCGGUGUCAGAGGUUGAGGCUCUUCAAGUUCAUUGUAGACUAAGAUUUGUUUGCACUGCAUCAAGUGGUCUGGUGAGCCACAAGAACCUCAAAGCGUUUAUGUCCUCUUCUGCAAUUGAAAUUUGAAGAUAGACGUCCGGAAGCAGCGUACAGGGGAGAAGGAGGAGCAAUUGGGGCAGAAGAAGUAGGAGAACCAGCAGACGAAGAAGACGAGCGAGACCAGACGAGCGAUGAGCCUCCGAGGAAGACGGAGUCACCGGCGACCGAAAGGCGAGCCGAGACGAGCAGCAAAGGAGGAAGCGCUGGAAAUCGGCGCGGCCGACUGUGACCCAGCACUGUUUAUUGAAAUAAUAAA